UACAGAGGGUGCGAGCGUUGUUCGGAAUUACUGGGCGUAAAGCGCGCGUAGGUGGUGUGUUAAGUCUGCCGGUCAAAUGCCGAGGCUCAACCUCGUUGCACGCCGGGGAUACUGGCACGCUAGAGACAAGUAGAGGCAAGCGGAAUUCCGGGUGUAGCGGUGGAAUGCGUAGAGAUCCGGAAGAACACCGGAGGCGAAGGCGGCUUGCUGGGCUUGGUCUGACGCUGAGGCGCGAAGCGUGGGGAGCGAACAGG
rnacentral:rRNA from 1 species